CUGGACGGUACUGCUGCCAUCUCAGCUCACUGCAACCUCCCUGCCUGAUUCUCCUGCCUCAGCCUGCCGAGUGCCUGCGAUUGCAGGCGCGCGCCGCCACGCCUGACUGGUUUUCGUUUUUUUUUUGGUGGAGACGGGGUUUUGCUGUGUUGGCCGGGCUGGUCUCCAGCUCCUAACCGCGAGUGAUCCGCCAGCCUCGGCCUCCCGAGGUGCCGGGAUUGCAGACGGAGUCUCGUUCACUCAGUGCUCAAUGGUGCCCAGGCUGGAGUGCAAUGGCGUGAUCUCGGCUCGCUACAACCUCCACCUCCCAGCCGCCUGCCUUGGCCCCCCAAAGUGCCGAGAUUGCAGCCUCUGCCCAGCCGCCACCCCGUCUGGGAAGUGAGGAGCGUCUCUGCCCGGCCGCCCCGUCUGAGAAGUGAGGAAACCCUCUGCCUAGCAACCGCCCCGUCUGAGAAGUGAGGAGCCCCUCCGUCCGGCAGCCACCCCGUCUGGGAAGUGAGGAGCCCCUCCGCCUGGCAGCCACCCCGUCUGGAAAGUGAGGAGCGUCUCCGCCCGGCAGCCACCCCGUCCGGGAGGGAGGUGGGGGGGGUCAGCCCCCCGCCCGGCCAGCCGCCCCGUCCGGGAGGUGAGGGGCUCCUCUGCCCGGCCGCCCCUACUGGGAAGUGAG
rnacentral:lncRNA from 1 species